CCGCUCUUUAGUUUAAGAGGAUAGAGCUGUUUGGUAGCUCACAAGGCUCAUAACCUU
rnacentral:tRNA from 1 species